rnacentral:rRNA from 1 species
CAAUACUUCUGGUGGCGACCGGCGCACGGGUGAGUAACACGUAUGCAACCUGCCUUCAACAAGGGCAUAACCCGUUGAAAGACGGACUAAUUCCCUAUGACACAGGGGUCCCGCAUGGGGAUAUUUGUUAAAGAUAUUAUCGGUUGAAGAUGGGCAUGCGUUCCAUUAGCUUGUUGGCGGGGUAACGGCCCACCAAGGCAACGAUGGAUAGGGGAACUGAGAGGUUUAUCCCCCACACUGGUACUGAGACACGGACCAGACUCCUACGGGAGGCAGCAGUGAGGAAUAUUGGUCAAUGGACGCAAGUCUGAACCAGCCACGUCGCGUGAAGGAAGACGGCCCUACGGGUUGUAAACUUCUUUUAUACGGGAAUAAAGUGCCCCACGCGUGGGGUUUUGCAAGUACCGUACGAAUAAGGAUCGGCUAACUCCGUGCCAGCAGCCGCGGUAAUACGGAGGAUCCGAGCGUUAUCCGGAUUUAUUGGGUUUAAAGGGUGCUCAGGCGGGGGAUUAAGUCGGCGGUGAAAUUUUGCAGCUCAACUGUAAAAGUGCCUUCGAAACUGGUUUCCUUGAGUGCGGAUGAGGUAGGCGGAAUUUGUGG